rnacentral:rRNA from 1 species
UACGUAGGGUCCGAGCGUUUGUCCGGAAUUAUUGGGCGUAAAGGGCUCGUAGGCGGUCCGUCACGUCGGGAGUGAAAACUCAGGGCUCAACCCUGAGCGUGCUUCCGAUACGGGCGGACUAGAGGUAUGCAGGGGAGAACGGAAUUCCCGGUGUAGUGGUGGAAUGCGUAGAUAUCGGGAGGAACACCAGUGGCGAAGGCGGUUGCCUGGAGCUUUGCUGACGCUGAUGCGCGAAAGCGUGGGGAGCGAUCCGG